AGCUUUUUGAAUCCGUGCUGAGAUUUCGCCGGACAUCAACCCAUAAGGGCUGGUCAGACUUCCAAGAUAAGUGAAGUU
rnacentral:pre_miRNA from 1 species